CACAUCUCUGAGACACUCUGCUGAAGUUGUGAAGACCUGUCGGUGAAAUCACUGAAACCAUGAUCAAGGUUGUGUUUCUGCUUGGAUGCCUGCUGAGCCUUGCUCUGGCAAAUCCUAAUGACUCAGCACUUGAACGCGAUGCACGUUCUUCAUCUUCAUCUGGGGAGGGG